GAGUUUGAUCUUGGCUCAGAUUGAACGCUGGCGGCAUGCCUUACACAUGCAAGUCGAACGGCAGCAUGAUCUAGCUUGCUAGAUUGAUGGCGAGUGGCGAACGGGUGAGUAAUACAUCGGAACGUGCCCGUGUAGUGGGGAUAACUAGUCGAAAGAUUAGCUAAUACCGCAUACGACCUGAGGGUGAAAGUGGGGACCGCAAGGCCUCAUGCUAUAGGAGCGGCCGAUGUCUGA
rnacentral:rRNA from 1 species